CACCAACAGCACCAAAUGAUUUUGAUAAGUCCGCUGGGCUUUUCGCUCCUUUUUGUGCUGGUGAUCAGCGGAGAGUUAUUGAACCAAAAGGGCAAAAAUGUCAAAUCGGUGAAAAUCCGCAUACCAGCAAAUGGAAAUUCAGGUCCCAUCAAAAUUCAACUUCCAAAAGGCUUAUUAUUACGUCGUCAGAAAAUCAUCAAGUGUUGCGGAUUUAAAAAAUGCCUGCCGCCAAAAAACGGGACAACAUUUUUCAGAACUGCAUCUUCGGCGCCAAU